GCCUGGGUAGCUCAGUUGGUUAGAGCACUGUCCCAAUACACCAAGGUUGUGGGUUAGAACCCCCCAUCAGGCC
rfam:Myotis brandtii contig237123, whole genome shotgun sequence.